AUGUCUGUGCCGCCUCUGGUGCUGCGGUCGUCUUUACCGUCUGUCUCUCACGGCCUGGUCUACAUCAACAUACCGGGCCGCACCUGUCUGCAUGAGCUGUUUAUUGAGUAUGAGCAAGUCACAGCUUGGGUAGCCCGGUUUUCUUCCAACAAAUUGGAGGCAAAUUAUCAUCAGCUGCUGUCUGCGCUAGAUGGUUCAAUGGACAUGCGCACAAUCGCUGCCACUGCAGUUUGGUUAACUUCAAACAGCCAGUUGGAAGGAACCAUUGGCCGAGUUGCUGACACGGCUCAUACGGGAUCAUUUAUAACCCGCCGCAGUCACCUCAACCUUCUGUGGAUUUACAUCAUGUUAUCAAACCAAUGA
rnacentral:rRNA from 1 species